rnacentral:rRNA from 1 species
UACGUAGGAAGCAAGCGUUGUCCGGAAUCACUGGGCGUAAAGCGCGUGUAGGCGGUAUGGCAAGUCUGCUGUGAAAGCUCUCGGCUUAACCGGGAGAGGUCGGUGGAAACUGCCACACUGGAGGACGGUAGAGGGGGGUGGAAUUCCCGGUGUAGUGGUGAAAUGCGUAGAGAUCGGGAGGAACACCUGUGGCGAAGGCGGCCCCCUGGGCCGGCCCUGACGCUGAGACGCGAAAGCGCGGGGAGCGAACGGG